rnacentral:rRNA from 1 species
AUUGAACGCUGGCGGCAUGCUUUACACAUGCAAGUCGAACGGUAACAGGCCGCAAGGUGCUGACGAGUGGCGAACGGGUGAGUAAUGCAUCGGAACGUGCCCAGUCGUGGGGGAUAACGCAGCGAAAGCUGCGCUAAUACCGCAUACGAUCUAUGGAUGAAAGCGGGGGUCCGUAAGGCCUCGCGCGAUUGGAGCGGCCGAUGACAGUUUAGGUAGUUGGUGGGGCAAAGGCUCACCAAGCCAACGAUCUGUAGCUGGUCUGAGAGGACGACCAGCCACACUUGAACUGGGACACUGGCCAGGGUCCUACGGGAGACAUCAAUGAGGAAUUUUGGACAAUGGGCGCAAGACUGAUCCAGGAAUGCCGCGUGCAGGAAGAAGUCCAUCGGUUUGUAAACUGCUUUUGUACGGUACGAAACGGGCCUGGUUAAUACCUGGGGCUAAUGACGGUACCGUAAGAAUAAGCACCGGCUAACUACGUGCCAGCAGCCGCCGUAAAAC